rnacentral:rRNA from 1 species
UGGGGAAUAUUGGGCAAUGGGCGAAAGCCUGACCCAGCUAUGCCGCGUGAGUGAUGAAGGCCUUCGGGUUGUAAAGCUCUUUUAGGUGGGACGAUGAUGACGGUACCACCAGAAAAAGCCCCGGCUAACUUCGUGCCAGCAGCCGCGGUAAUACGAAGGGGGCAAGCGUUGCUCGGAUUUAUUGGGCGUAAAGGGUGUGUAGGUGGCUCUACAAGUUAGAUGUGAAAGCCCCGGGCUUAACCCGGGAACUGCAUUUAAAACUGUAGAGCUUGAAGAUCACAGAGGUAAGCAGAAUUUCCAGUGUAGAGGUGAAAUUCGUAGAUAUUGGAAAGAAUACCAACGGCGUAGGCAGCUUACUGGGUGACUCUUGACACUGAGGCACGAAAGCGUGGGGAGCAAA